AUUUUAAUAGCUUAAGGAAUUAAAGUUUAAUAUUGAAGAUAUUAAGAUAGUAUAUUACUUUAAAAUA
rnacentral:tRNA from 1 species